GAUGAACGCUGGCGGCGUGCCUAAUACAUGCAAGUCGAGCGAACGGACUAGAAGCUUGCUUUUCUGAUGUUAGCGGCGGACGGGUGAGUAACACGUGGAUAACCUACCUAUAAGACUGGGAUAACUUCGGGAAACCGGAGCUAAUACCGGAUAAUAUUUUGAACCGCAUGGUUCAAAAGUGAAAGACGGUCUUGCUGUCACUUAUAGAUGGAUCCGCGCUGCAUUAGCUAGUUGGUAAGGUAACGGCUUACCAAGGCAACGAUGCAUAGCCGACCUGAGAGGGUGAUCGGCCACACUGGAACUGAGACACGGUCCAGACUCCUACGGGAGGCAGCAGUAGGGAAUCUUCCGCAAUGGGCGAAAGCCUGACGGAGCAACGCCGCGUGAGUGAUGAAGGUCUUCGGAUCGUAAAACUCUGCUAUUAGGGAAGAACAUAUGUGUAAGUAACUGUGCACAUCUUGACGGUACCUAAUCAGAAAGCCACGGCUAACUACGUG
rnacentral:rRNA from 1 species